UUCCCAAUACACACCCUUUUGAAUUCUUUUUGUUCCAAUAUCUUUUUAUACUUUCUCUAUCUUUCUUUCUCUAAUGCUGCAGAUCUGAGUCUUCCUCUUCUUCAAACUUCUCUCUUCCUAUUCUUUUUUCAUGUUUUUCUUAUGCUCUUUUAAUUCUUUCUUCCAACUUGAUUUACGAAAAUAAUUUAGGCGGUCUGUUGUUAUCACGGUGAUAUAUCUGUGGCGGAUACAACAUAUUUCUGGCGGUGAGUAUGGUGGUGGUCGGAAUUGAAAUGAUUGAUGUGUUUUACCGACGAUCUGGUGACGAUUGUGAUCUGACUGAAAUGUUUUACUGAUUUAUGUUUUGUGGAGUUAUCACAGUCAAGGUGUGAACAAGACAUUUUUCUGAAACUCUUGUUAUGGAAGCCCUCCAAAAGAUGGUGCUAGUGAAAUUUAGGCAUCUACUUGUGUUGAAGAAUGGAGAAGUUUUGGCUUUACUUGAUAUCACAAAGUGUUAUUGAUAAAGGUAAAGCAAAUGCAACAGCUUUUGAAGGAGUUGAAAAAUAUUGGGGAUCAACUAAUUUUGAUAAGUAGUGUAUUUUCAUUUUCAUGCUUAGCUCUUUGAAGAUAAUUGUGGCUUUCACAAUGUCUUAGAUCUCUUACUCUUCACUAUUUUCAUUUCUGCAUUAAUAGGUAAUAUAUUUCACUUUGUUUAAAAUCUAUUUGCUUCAACAUAAUGAAGGAUAACUCUCAGCUUCAUCAUCACAUAAUAGUUUUCAAAUACAUUUUUUAUGCAUAUUGUUCUGAUCUUCUUAUGUUUCUUGUAUUAUGAUAGAUAUGUCAAUUUAGAGAGAUGGUUCAUAUGAUUCUUUACUAUCCUUAUGAUUAUUUAUUCUUGAAUAUUUUUUAUGGAUCUUCUAUGUAUAUUUAUUUUCUAGAUCUAGAAAUUUAUGAUGAAAAAAAGAUUUACAACAUAAAGGGGAUAAAACAUGUUGGGAAAAAAUAAAGAAAAAUUGUUAUAACCAAUUAUAGAUUUUGACUAGAGGUUGAAGAUUUGACGAGAAUGUGAAUCUUUUGCUGGACACAAAGAUCUGGAAAUUUGUGAAGAAACUGUUGUGGAAGACCUGUUUGAGUCUAUCUCUAAUAGGAAAAUUUCGAUUUUCAUUGUGUUGGAUAACAAGUAGUUAUGAUCUUCUUCUAUAUCUGAUAUUAUAAUAGAUAUGUCAAUUUGCAUAGAUGAUUCUUACGAUUCUUUAUUUUUGAAUAGAUUUUGAUGGAUCUG